rnacentral:rRNA from 1 species
GACGAACGCUAGCGGCGUGCCUAAUACAUGCAAGUAGAACGCUGAAGGAGGAGCUUGCUCUUCUGGAUGAGUUGCGAACGGGUGAGUAACGCGUAGGUAACCUGCCUGGUAGCGGGGGAUAACUAUUGGAAACGAUAGCUAAUACCGCAUAAGAGUAGAUGUUGCAUGACAUUUGCUUAAAAGGUGCAAUUGCAUCACUACCAGAUGGACCUGCGUUGUAUUAGCUAGUUGGUGGGGUAACGGCUCACCAAGGCGACGAUACAUAGCCGACCUGAGAGGGUGAUCGGCCACACUGGGACUGAGACACGGCCCAGACUCCUACGGGAGGCAGCAGUAGGGAAUCUUCGGCAAUGGACGGAAGUCUGACCGAGCAACGCCGCGUGAGUGAAGAAGGUUUUCGGAUCGUAAAGCUCUGUUGUAAGAGAAGAACGAGUGUGAGAGUGGAAAGUUCACACUGUGACGGUAUCUUACCAGAAAGGGACGGCUAACUACGUG